GCUGUGUGGCUCAGCGGUAGAUCAUCCAGUUUACGAGUGGAAGGUCCUGGGUUCGAUUCCCGGCAUCUGCA